rnacentral:rRNA from 1 species
AGUUUGAUCCUGGCUCAGGACGAACGCUGGCGGCGUGCUUAACACAUGCAAGUCGAACGAUGAACCGCUUUCGGGCGGGGAUUAGUGGCGAACGGGUGAGUAACACGUGGGCAAUCUGCCCUGCACUCUGGGACAAGCCCUGGAAACGGGGUCUAAUACCGGAUAUGACCGUCUGCCGCAUGGUGGAUGGUGUAAAGCUCCGGCGGUGCAGGAUGAGCCCGCGGCCUAUCAGCUUGUUGGUGAGGUAGUGGCUCACCAAGGCGACGACGGGUAGCCGGCCUGAGAGGGCGACCGGCCACACUGGGACUGAGACACGGCCCAGACUCCUACGGGAGGCAGCAGUGGGGAAUAUUGCACAAUGGGCGAAAGCCUGAUGCAGCGACGCCGCGUGAGGGAUGACGGCCUUCGGGUUGUAAACCUCUUUCAGCAGGGAAGAAGCGAAAGUGAC